UACGGGGGGGGUAAGCGUUGUUCGGAAUUACUGGGCGUAAAGGGCUCGUAGGCGGCCAACUAAGUCGGACGUGAAAUCCCUCAGCUUAAACUGGGGAACUGCGUCCGAUACUGGAUGGCUUGGAUUUGGGAGAGGGAUGCGGAAUUCCAGGUGUAGCGGUGAAAUGCGUAGAUAUCUGGAGGAACACCGGUGGCGAAGGCGGCAUCCUGGACCGGUAUUGACGCUGAGGCGCGAAAGCCAGGGGAGCAAACGGGG
rnacentral:rRNA from 1 species